GGAAAAAUUGAUUUGGGAGUUGGGGAAUGAAGGCUUUCUCUUUCCUUUCUUGCCUUCUUUAUUAUUAAUAUUUUGUAAAGAUCCAGCGCUUAACGGAGUGGCCCCGAACGAGGCCAGACUGCGCGGACGGCGGGGAGCGCAGCGGCUUCUCCAGGGGACGGCGCCAGGCGGGAGUGGCCGCCCCGGGACCCCGACUGUCCGCCCAGCUCCAGUUUCCUCGUCGGUGAGUUGGAGAUGAUAAUUGCAGCAGGUGGCUGUUUUCCACCACC
rnacentral:lncRNA from 1 species